rnacentral:rRNA from 1 species
UACGGAAGGCAGCAGUGGGGAAUAUUGCACAAUGGGCGCAAGCCUGAUGCAGCCAUGCCGCGUGUAUGAAAAAGGCCUUCGGGUUGUAAAGUACUUUCAGUCGUGAGGAAGGUGUUAAGGUUAAUAACCUUAGCAAUUGACGUUAGCGACAGAAGAAGCACCGGCUAACUCCGUGCCAGCAGCCGCGGUAAUACGGAGGGUGCGAGCGUUAAUCGGAAUUACUGGGCGUAAAGGGCACGCAGGCGGUUAAUUAAGUUGGAUGUGAAAUCCCCGGGCUUAACCUGGGAAUGGCAUUCAAGACUGGUUAGCUAGAGUCUUGUAGAGGGGGUAGAAUUCCAUGUGUAGCGGUGAAAUGCGUAGAGAUGUGGAGGAAUACCGGUGGCGAAGGCGGCCCCUGGGACAAAGACUGACGCUCAUGUGCGAAAGCGUGGGGAGCGAAACAGGGAUUAGAUACC